UGUGUGUUGUGUGUGUGUGUGUGUGUGUGUGUGGUGUGUGUGUGUGUGUGUGUGUGUAACACACACACGCAUACACACACACACACACACACACACACACACACACAUAUAUAUAUAUAUAUAUAUAUAUAUAUAUAUUAUAUAUAUCAUAUGUGCAUAUAUACAUAUAUAUAUACAUAU